rnacentral:rRNA from 1 species
AUUGAACGCUGGCGGUAUGCUUAACACAUGCAAGUCGAACGGUAGCAGCUCUUCGGAGGCUGACGAGUGGCGGACGGGGGAGUAACGCGUAGGAAUCUGCCUGUUAGUGGGGGACAACGUGUGGGAACGCACGCUAAUACCGCAUACGCCCUCCGGGGGAAAGGAGGGGACCUUCGGGCCUUUCGCUAACAGAUGAGCCUGCGUUAAAUUAGCUAGAUGGUGGGGUAAAGGCCUACCAUCGCGACGAUCUAUAGCUGUUCUGAGAGGAAGAUCAGCCACACUGGGACUGAGACACGGCCCAGACUCCUACGGGAGGCAGCAGUGGGGAAUAUUGGACAAUGGGCGAAAGCCUGAUCCAGCAAUACCGCGUGUGUGAAGAAGGCCUUAGGGUUGUAAAGCACUUUCAAUGGGGAGGAAAAAGAGUAAGCUAAUACCUUGCUUAUUGACAUUACCCAUACAAGAAGCACCGGCUAACUCCGUGCCAGCCGCCGCUGUAAAAC